AGCGAACGCUGGCGGCAGGCCUAACACAUGCAAGUCGAACGGACCCUUCGGGGUUAGUGGCGGACGGGUGGGUAACACGUGGGAACGUGCCUUUAGGUUCGGAAUAGCUCCUGGAAACGGGUGGUAAUGCCGAAUGUGCCCUUCGGGGGAAAGAUUUAUCGCCUUUAGAGCGGCCCGCGUCUGAUUAGCUAGUUGGUGAGGUAAUGGCUCACCAAGGCGACGACCGGUAGCUGGUCUGAGAGGAUGACCAGCCACAUUGGGACUGAGACACGGCCCAAACUCCUACGGGAGGCGGCAGUGGGGAAUCUUGCGCAAUGGGCGAAAGCCUGACGCAGCCAUGCCGCGUGAAUGAUGAAGGUCUUAGGAUUGUAAAAUUCUUUCACCGGGGACGAUAAUGACGGUACCCGGAGAAGAAGCCCCGGCUAACUUCGUGCCAGCCGCCGCCGUAACAC
rnacentral:rRNA from 1 species